rnacentral:rRNA from 1 species
GAUGAACGCUGGCGGCGUGCCUAAUACAUGCCAGUCGAGCGAACGGACGAGAAGCUUGCUUCUCUGAUGUUAGCGGCGGACGGGUGAGUAACACGUGGAUAACCUACCUAUAAGACUGGGAUAACUUCGGGAAACCGGAGCUAAUACCGGAUAAUAUUUUGAACCGCAUGGUUCAAAAGUGAAAGACGGUCUUGCUGUCACUUAUAGAUGGAUCCGCGCUGCAUUAGCUAGUUGGUAAGGUAACGGCUUACCAAGGCAACGAUGCAUAGCCGACCUGAGAGGGUGAUCGGCCACACUGGAACUGAGACACGGUCCAGACUCCUACGGGAGGCAGCAGUAGGGAAUCUUCCGCAAUGGGCGAAAGCCUGACGGAGCAACGCCACGUGAGUGAUGAAGGUCUUCGGAUCGUAAAACUCUGUUAUUAGGGAAGAACAUAUGUGUAAGUAACUGUGCACAUCUUGACGGUACCUAAUCAGAAAGCCACGGCUAACUACGUG